rnacentral:rRNA from 1 species
GACGUAGGGGACGAGCGUUGUCCGGAAUCACUGGGCGUAAAGGGCGCGUAGGUGGUCUUGUAAGUUUGCGGUGAAAGCCCGGGGCUCAACCCCGGGUCUGCCGCGAAUACUGCGAGACUCGAGUACUGUAGAGGCUGGUAGAAUGCCGGGUGUAGCGGUGGAAUGCGUAGAUAUGCGGAGGAACACCGAUGGCGAAGGCAAUCCCCUGGGCCUGCACUGACGCUCAUGCACGAAAGCGUGGGGAGCAAACAGG